rnacentral:rRNA from 1 species
GACGAACGCUGGCGGCGUGCCUAAUACAUGCAAGUGGGACGCAAGAGAACACACUAUGCUUGCACACCGUGUUUUCUUGAGUCGCGAACGGGUGAGUAACGCGUAGGUAACCUGCCUAUUAGCGGGGGAUAACUAUUGGAAACGAUAGCUAAUACCGCAUAAUAUUAAUUAUUGCAUGAUAAUUGAUUGAAAGAUGCAAGCGCAUCACUAGUAGAUGGACCUGCGUUGUAUUAGCUAGUUGGUAAGGUAAGAGCUUACCAAGGCGACGAUACAUAGCCGACCUGAGAGGGUGAUCGGCCACACUGGGACUGAGACACGGCCCAGACUCCUACGGGAGGCAGCAGUAGGGAAUCUUCGGCAAUGGACGAAAGUCUGACCGAGCAACGCCGCGUGAGUGAAGAAGGUUUUCGGAUCGUAAAGCUCUGUUGUAAGUCAAGAACGUGUGUGAGAGUGGAAAGUUCACGCAGUGACGGUAGCUUACCAG